rnacentral:rRNA from 1 species
UACAGAGGGUGCAAGCGUUAAUCGGAAUUACUGGGCGUAAAGCGUGCGUAGACGGUUACAUAAGUCGGGUGUGAAAGCCCCGGGCUCAACCUCGGAUCGGCCGUGGCGACUCGUGGGCUGGAGCACUGUAGAGGCGGGUGGAAUUCCGGGUGUAGCGGUGGAAUGCGUAGAGAUCCGGAAGAACACCAGUGGCGAAGGCGGCUCGCUGGGCAGUGGCUGACGCUGAGGCGCGACAGCGUGGGGAGCAAACAGG